rnacentral:lncRNA from 1 species
ACCUUCCACAAAUUGUAUUAAAUUUAUAUAUUUUAUAGCGAAUCCCAUGAAGUAUGAUUGAUUAUAUGGUAACUACAAAUAAUAAUAAUAAUUUUUUUUUUAAAAAAAAGAAGAAGCAUAAAGUAGACCAGCAACAUUACAACAGUACCUAAAACAAGCCCCAGAUUGAGGAAAAAAAUAAGAACAAUACAACAAAAGAACUCUUGUUUUUGAUAUACCAAAAGAUUGCAAGAUCAAGACAAAAGCAAAUUGAUCCCAACUUGACGACUUCAAAUUGCCAUUCUCAAAUGAAAAAUUAUAUGCAAGAAUUUCCACAUGGUUUCGAAGCUACGACUAUUCUUAUGCUACGACCAAUACUCACAAUUUGGCUUUAACGAACAUGGUACCCAAUACCUACUUUAUUUACAAUUACAUUGCCUCAUGGUGCAAGUCAUAUUACCUAAUAAUGUCCAAAAAUAUUCACGAACCCUGUCAAAUGGCAAAGCUAAUAGAAAAAAAAUUGUAUUAAAUUUAUGAAAGGCCAUGUCCACUUAGAAAGAACAUAAGUUAAUCAAAUGUUACAAAGGCGACAUAGAGUUAUAUAUUUGGACAGCUGUAUUAAAAUAAUUUGGAUGCGUAUAUAUAUAUUUUUAUUUUAAUUAUUUAUGGUGGUUUUGUCAACGUCUAAUAAAAGAACUAUGAGGUAGAGAGAUGAAGUUAAAUAAAAAUAAAAUGAACCCUAAAUAAGAUAUUGUAGUGGGUUUUGGGUUGGAUUUGUUUAUGAAUUUGGUGGGUGCAAAUCCUUGUAAUGAUGGCAAUAGAAAAUAGUGGGGAAAAGAAAGGCUCAAAGCGGCAUGCAUGCUCUGAGUGGAGGUCGAAGGGACAAGUUGGAUAAUGAAGUGUGAAGAUGUCCAAGACGUUAUCAAUUUAUCAUGAUUGUUUUCUUUGUAAAUAUAUAUACAUACAUGCAUACAUAAAUACAUACAGUUGUAUUAUAUGCAUACAUAUCACCUGUGUAUGCAUAUCUAAAUGUGUCCAAAGUUUGUAGAUUUAUAUAAUCAUCAUUAAACAUUAAUUGAAUGAGUCAUAGUGUGGUAUUGCUCCUAAAAUUAUAUUAGGUCAUUUUGAAAUAACAUGUGAUAUUUACAUAGAUAGGGGUGUUAAUUUUAUCUACAGGUGCAUGUUUUAAGGAAAAUAAUCUUCUCUUGAUUUGAUUUCUUCUGAGUUUUUCAAGAUUUUUUUUCAUGUGUUUUUUAAUGUUAGUGUAUGAAUAAUAUUUAAUUUUUUUAUUUUUUUAUUUAUUAAUUAUCAAUCAAUAAUUAAAUUAUUUAUUCAAAAUAUAAUCAGAGAAUGUGUUCAUAAUAAAUAAGUAUACGUAUUAUCGUUUCAAGUGAAAAUGACAUUUGCAUUUACGUGAUCCGACCCCGAUAGAAAUUUAAUUAUUUGAUAAUGGCAUUGAUAAUGUCAAACAGUCGUUGGAAAACAGCAAAGAUAGGAAUGGUGCUUUUCCAUGUGAGACCCCCCAUCCCAUUGGGUCAUUCCAUUUUGGAAACAGCAAAUGAUUUCGAGGCAAGUGACCAUGCGCCUGCAGGCUCGCCCGUUUCGAGCACUGGGGUCUAAUCAUUUAUGUGAAAUGACUUAAUAAUUAAUUCUACAAGACAAAUGGACCGCUUGGGCCGAUUGUCUAGAUUAGGGAUGGUAAUUGGUACCACCCAUAGCGGAUUUGUCAUUAUGAAAUUCAAAU